AGUCGCUUGAUGAUUUCCCAAUUAUAAGAGUAGUGGACAGAAGUGAUUUCUGAGCAGCUUUAGACGGAGACU